GAUGAACGCUGGCGGCGUGCUUAACACAUGCAAGUCGAACGAAGCAUUUAGGACAGAUUACUUCGGUUUGAAGUUCUUUAUGACUGAGUGGCGGACGGGUGAGUAACGCGUGGGUAACCUGCCUUGUACUGGGGGAUAGCAGCUGGAAACGGCUGGUAAUACCGCAUAAGCGCACAAUGUUGCAUGACAUGGUGUGAAAAACUCCGGUGGUAUAAGAUGGACCCGCGUCUGAUUAGCUAGUUGGUGAGAUAACAGCCCACCAAGGCGACGAUCAGUAGCCGACCUGAGAGGGGGACCGGCCACAUUGGGACUGAGACACGGCCCAGACUCCUACGGGAGGCAGCAGUGGGGAAUAUUGCACAAUGGAGGAAACUCUGAUGCAGCGACGCCGCGUGAGUGAAGAAGUAAUUCGUUAUGUAAAGCUCUAUCAGCAGGGAAGAUAGUGACGGUACCUGACUAAGAAGCUCCGGCUAAAUACGUG
rnacentral:rRNA from 1 species